GUGCUCGCUUCAGCAGCAUACAUACCAAAAUUGGAACGAUACAGAGAAGAUUAGCCUGGCACCUGCGCAAGGAUGAUACUCAAAUUUGUGAAGCAUUUCAUAUCUUU